GGCAGAAUGGCAGUGGCUGAUUACAAGCUGCCUUUGGUGAACAAAAAAACCGUGACCACAUUAGAAUCCGAGCAGAGCUCCAAUCCUGCAUUCUGAUGACACCUUACACAACGGCUCUCUGUUAUGGGGGGCUGGUACUUAAGAAGCUUUACUGCGGGCAUCCUACCCACUAUUUUCAGACUGUUUUGGUGGAAACUUAAGCUAGACUCUAGGCCAGCGGCGGAAAAAGAGCUUCAGGGACGUGCAUGUCUACAGUGUCAUGGAAGAUGCAUCAAAGGAUACUGGACCUGCCGCCAGCUGACAUGCCUUUCUUCCUCCUUAGUUCUGUUAAGAUGUGGGUUCAGUUUUUCUAGACAUGCAAUCCAUAAUAUAUGCAGUCUAGUCAAUCAGUGCACGGCAUUACAUGCCAUUCAUUUCCUAUGUAUAUAUUUAGUCAGAAUCAAAGCAGGACAAGCACAUGUACAUAAUUUGCAAGAAUAAAAUUUUGUUUUUUGCUAAU
rnacentral:lncRNA from 1 species